rnacentral:rRNA from 1 species
CAGGCCUAACACAUGCAAGUCGAGCGCGCCCUUCGGGGUGAGCGGCGGACGGGUUAGUAACGCGUGGGAACGUGCCCAGAUCUAAGGAAUAGCCACUGGAAACGGUGAGUAAUACCUUAUACGCCCUUCGGGGGAAAGAUUUAUCGGAUUUGGAUCGGCCCGCGUUAGAUUAGGUAGUUGGUGGGGUAAUGGCCUACCAAGCCUACGAUCUAUAGCUGGUUUUAGAGGAUGAUCAGCAACACUGGGACUGAGACACGGCCCAGACUCCUACGGGAGGCAGCAGUGGGGAAUCUUGGACAAUGGGGGCAACCCUGAUCCAGCCAUGCCGCGUGAGUGAUGAAGGCCUUAGGGUCGUAAAGCUCUUUCGCCUGUGAUGAUAAUGACAGUAGCAGGUAAAGAAACCCCGGCUAACUCCGUGCCAGCAGCCGCGGUAAUACGGAGGGGGUUAGCGUUGUUCGGAAUUACUGGGCGUAAAGCGCGCGUAGGCGGAUUAGUCAGUUAGAGGUGAAAUCCCAGGGCUCAACCCUGGAACUGCCUUUAAUACUGCUAGUCUUGAGUUCGAGAGAGGUGAGUGGAAUUCCGAGUGUAGAGGUGAAAUUCGUAGAUAUUCGGAGGAACACCAGUGGCGAAGGCGGCUCACUGGCUCGAUACUGACGCUGAGGUGCGAAAGUGUGGGGAGCAAACAGGAUUAGAUACCCUGGUAGUCCACACCGUAAACGAUGAAUGCCA